ensembl:lncRNA
UUUAAGGGUUAGCAGUGGAGGUAUCUUGCUGUAGUCUAGGGCCUUACUACUUUGCUGUUGUUGCUGUGCUUUCUAUUUCAUUGCUGUACUGCUCACUUUUUUGGGGUGCACUUAGUAUGGUAUUGUCUUUUUGUAAAUAACACUUCUCAAGAUCAACUUGUCUAGGAAAGCCUUAUGUUACAAAUCUUAAUUGGGGUUAGAGUUUGGGGGCCCCUGUUUCUUGCUUAUUAGGACAUUAAUAUCCUCAUGAAGAGAGGAGCGUACAGCACUGCUGCUUGCCUUGGCUUUUUCUGGAAUGGCACUGAAGUAUGAAGUAUAAAAGCACUGAAAUAUUCAAGGUACAAGCCGUUUUGUACUAGGCAUGUUCUUCAUUCAAGGAAAAUGUUGACCAUGCAGUCCAUCUUUCAUUGGCCUGAACAGGUGGAAGUCAGAAGGCACCAAAUCCAGACUAUAGGAUGGGUGUGGUUGGACAGUACAACUAAGACUGAUGAUACAAAAAUGUACAAGCAGGCGUAAAGAAAUACGAUACGGAUGACUAAAUAAUUCAGUCCAAUGGAACCAGGACUAUUACACUUUGAAAUUACAGCUGCUUGGAGUAGGAAAAGAGUGUCUUGUCCUCUGCUCCUGGUGAUGAGGAGAAUCUCUCUCUGAAGGAUGGCAUUUGAAAAACAAACAAGAGGGCUGGAUGGAUACUCUGGGAGUUUUACAGCUCCACUUUUGAAAAAUACUGUAGAACUUCUUUGUACAGCUGCACAGUGUAGAAUUGUCUAAGCUCCAUUACAUCAUGGUGUAUUGCAUUGUGAAAUGAAGUGAUUGCAAUGUGAUUGGAACAGCUGAUGUAUUUCAAAACACUUGACAGAAGGGAAAGUGUAAUGGAAAAUCAAAUGGAUAUACAUGGAUAGCAGAAGUGAUCCAAACAAAUUUUGAACAAAAUUAUCUUUGCUAUCCCUUUUGUAAAAACAACUUUGUGUUAGCAGAUUGAUUUGUAUUUAUGAUGGUAUAGAUCUUCUCGUGUUCAAUUUCCUUAUACGAAUCUUACAGAAAACAAUAGUUGGAUACUGCAGUAU